GGUUUAAUAGUCAAAAAUGAUUUUAAAUUGCAAAUUUAAAGGUAGAGCUAAUCUUUAAGCCU
rnacentral:tRNA from 1 species